AUUUGCUGUUUAUUAAAAACACUUCUGCAUGGUGAAUCCCCCUGUGCGGAGGGGCGACUGGUGUAGGUAGCAUUUAUUAUGUUAUAGGCAAGCCGACGCGGGUUCAGUGACACCGGCUGAAUUCACCGGGAGGCACCCGGCACCAUGCAAGAAAAAGAAUGUGCAUGCAAACAUGCCCCUCUCCGGAGGGGCAUUUUUUAUGG
rnacentral:sRNA from 1 species